rnacentral:rRNA from 1 species
CCUACGGGAGGCAGCAGUAGGGAAUCUUCCGCAAUGGACGAAAGUCUGACGGAGCAACGCCGCGUGAGCGAAGAAGGCCUUCGGGUCGUAAAGCUCUGUUGUUAGGGAAGAACAAGUACGAGAGUAACUGCUCGUACCUUGACGGUACCUAACCAGAAAGCCACGGCUAACUACGUGCCAGCAGCCGCGGUAAUACGUAGGUGGCAAGCGUUGUCCGGAAUUAUUGGGCGUAAAGCGCGCGCAGGCGGUCCUUUAAGUCUGAUGUGAAAGCCCUCGGCUUAACCGGGGAAGUGCGUCUGGAACUGCUCGGCUCGAGUACGGGAGAGGGAGGCGGAAUUCCCAGUGUAGAGGUGAAAUUCGUAGAUAUUGGGAGGAACACCGGUGGCGAAAGCGGCCUCCUGGACCGAUACUGACGCUGAGACGCGAAAGCGUGGGGAGCAAACAGGAUUAGAUACCCUGGUAGUCCACGCUGUAAACGAUGGGCACUAGGUGUGGGGGGUAUCCACUCCUCCCGUGCCGCAGCUAACGCACUAAGUGCCCCGCCUGGGGAGUACGGCCGCAAGGUUAAAACUCAAAGGAAUUGACGG